rnacentral:rRNA from 1 species
AUUGAACGCUGGCGGCAUGCCUAACACAUGCAAGUCGAACGAGUGGCGGACGGGUGAGUAAUGUCUGGGCAACUGCCUGAUGGAGGGGGAUAACUACUGGAAACGGUAGCUAAUACCGCAUACCAUCGGAUGUGCCCAGGUGGGAUUAGCUAGUAGGUGGGGUAACGGCUCACCUAGGCGACGAUCCCUAGCUGGUCUGAGAGGAUGACCAGCCACACUGGAACUGAGACACGGCCCAGACUCCUACGGGAGGCAGCAGUGGGGAAUAUUGCGCAAUGGGCGCAAGCCUGACGCAGCCAUGCCGCGUGUAUGAAGAAGGUCUUCGGGUUGUAAAGUACUUUCAGCGGGGAGGCGUUACCUGAAGAAGAAGCCCCGGCUAACUCCGUGCCAGCAGCCGCGGUAAUAC